GUGGGGAAUAUUGGACAAUGGGCGAAAGCCUGAUCCAGCAAUGCCGCGUGAGUGAUGAAGGCCCUAGGGUUGUAAAGCUCUUUUACCCGGGAUGAUAAUGACAGUACCGGGAGAAUAAGCUCCGGCUAACUUCGUGCCAGCAGCCGCGGUAAUACGAGGGGAGCUAGCGUUGUUCGGAAUUACUGGGCGUAAAGCGCGCGUAGGCGGUUUUUUAAGUCAGAGGUGAAAGCCCGGGGCUCAACCCCGGAAUUGCCUUUGAAACUGGAAAACUAGAAUCUUGGAGAGGUCAGUGGAAUUCCGAGUGUAGAGGUGAAAUUCGUAGAUAUUCGGAAGAACACCAGUGGCGAAGGCGACUGACUGGACAAGUAUUGACGCUGAGGUGCGAAAGCGUGGGGAGCAAACAGGAUUAGAAACCCUGGUAGUCC
rnacentral:rRNA from 1 species